rnacentral:sRNA from 2 species
AGUACCCACGAACCAUCCAUGGACGGGGACGGGGGACCCAAGGUCCUCCGGGGAAGCAAGUCCCGAACGAGGGACGACCCCGCAGGCAUCGGGAGAGCGAUCUCCCUGGGGGUGAAGCCAGACCCGCUCCAUCCAAGAGCGGCGAGGCCGGGCGACCUCUCAGUCCGAACCCGACAGCUGACCUCGCAGGCGCGUGCGGAGAGGAAAC